GUUCCCAAAUUGCACCAUAGUUUGAGAAACCAUUGCAUCCCCUGGUGAAAUCCUCUGCCUCAAUGGACAAGAACAAGAAUUCCCAGAUAGGAUUUCCAUCCUCACCCCAGCCUGAAAUUGUAGAACAAAUAACUGAUUACACUCAGUUAAAACACCCCUUGAUAAAAGUCGAUUUGCUUGAACUCUUUACUUGCACCGGCUGCAAGGAGUAUGGAGCUGGCAAGAGAUUUUCGUGCCAGCAAUGUGAUUUUCAGCUUCACGGUUUCUGCGCAUCAUCGCCUCCACUGUUUGAAAACCAUCCCCUCCAUGGCCAACACCAGCUCGUGUUCCACGUUAGACCAAAACAAGGUAACGACCCGUCCCUGAUUUAGAAAAGGCCUUGACACUGAUUUUUGUUUAUCUUUUCUAUGCAAGUACUGUUAUCAUCUAAUCUUGACAAUAACAAUAACAUGGAGUUCUAACUGUCAGCAAACGCCAGAAUUUCAUGGCCAACGUGUGAUGUCUGUAACAAAUC
rnacentral:lncRNA from 1 species